GAUGAACGCUGGCGGCGUGCCUAAUACAUGCAAGUAGAACGCUGAAGGAGGAGCUUGCUCUUCUGGAUGAGUUGCGAACGGGCGAGUAACGCGUAGGUAACCUGCCUGGUAGCGGGGGAUAACUAUUGGAAACGAUAGCUAAUACCGCAUGACAACAGUUAUUGCAUGAUAACUGUUUAAAAGGGGCAACUGCUCCACUACCAGAUGGACCUGCGUUGUAUUAGCUAGUUGGUGAGGUAACGGCUCACCAAGGCGACGAUACAUAGCCGACCUGAGAGGGUGAUCGGCCACACUGGGACUGAGACACGGCCCAGACUCCUACGGGAGGCAGCAGUAGGGAAUCUUCGGCAAUGGACGGAAGUCUGACCGAGCAACGCCGCGUGAGUGAAGAAGGUUUUCGGAUCGUAAAGCUCUGUUGUAAGAGAAGAACGAGUGUGAGAGUGGAAAGUUCACACUGUGACGGUAUCUUACCAGAAAGGGACGGCUAACUACGUG
rnacentral:rRNA from 1 species